UGUUAUACUUAUUAUAAAAUAGUUAAUGCCUGAUUAGUAAAAGUUAUGUGCUCUAAAUUCAAAGAAUUUGGCGGCUUUUUAACCUUGUUAGGGGAACCUGUUUUUUAAGCGACAAUCCACGUAGAAUCUUGCCUAUUUUUAGUUUGUAUACCGUCAUUUAGAUAACUUUUAUAGGAGAAGUUGUUGAGAUAGUGGCUAAGAUGUUAGAUCAAGGUGCAGCUUAUGGGUAGGUUAAAAUGGGUUACAAUAAAAUUUGUUUAUAACGGAGA
rnacentral:rRNA from 1 species